rnacentral:lncRNA from 1 species
AACGAAAGUGUGUGGAAUGAGGAAAGAUGGCUGGACAGAGGCCUGAGAGCCAUUUCAUUUUAUGAAGAACAUAUAAAGCUCUUUUGAGCUACAGAAGCUUGAGAAAGCUAGACUCACAGGGUGUCAGCUGAGAACAGCACAUGCUACAGGGCUAGAUUUAUCAGAUGAGUGUUAGAGAGUCCAGGCCCAACCCUCGACUUCUCCGAGUGUGCGUCCAUUGCAUGGGUCACAUCCUGUACAGCCCACAGCAGAAGGAACAGUAUCGCUGGUGAACCCGGGAGGCCUCUUUAUAGUGUCCCUUCUAGGCUGCACCGCAAUAGCCAGUUCUGAGCUUCUUGUUAUGGGAACAGAAGCACACUACAAGUUGCAAGCUCCUCUGAUUAUUGAGAAGGACAAGGAAGGGCAGAAGUGUUCUUCUCUGUUCAAUGAUCCAUGCAGCUCUGACAAUAUCCAUCGUAGGCAAAUUCAAAGCAGAUAAGUUGAGAUAUACAGCCCAGCAGCUCUCGUAAAUGAAUUUAGUUCAAGUUGAAUUAAGGUGAUCUGUGAAAAUGUGUUCCAAAACGAUUCUCUUCAGCACUGGGGACACCAAAUCAUUCUGAAAAAUGGAUUAGCUCUUUUGGUAAAUGUUUCCAUUAUGGCCUCAUAAUUCUAUAGAAGUUAGACUCAGAACCUUUGAUAAGCUUGUUGAGAUGGUGAAUGCUAAGUGGUAUUUAAUAUUUCCUGUCACUUUUCUGAAGGCAAAAAGAUCUCUUCAUUCUGCUUUUGCUGGCUGCUCUCAGCUGUAAAGUGAAUGGGAAAAGAGACCAUGUUUGCCAGUCAUGGAAAAAACAAUCUGUUGAAGGUGGAAAUUCCAAGUUGUUGUUCUCGGUGAAGGAGAGGAAUGCUACUUGAAGGAGACAGAGGGUUGGUUGGCUGCAGAUUUCCACCAGCGGGAUUUUCAGGCUUUAUGGAGGUGGUCUUCUGACUUCUCUCACUGCUUCCUGAAGAACCCAUGCGCAGUGCUUGCAGCUCUUAACAGUCUGAGUCCCAUAGCACAAGGUGCUAGGGGGCAGGGUGAUAGGAAAGACGCCAGGGGAGUUUGCGGCUGGAGAGAAAGUACUGGUUAUCUGAAAAACUACCAUUUAACCAGCUACUGGGAGAGAAGGGAUGAGGUCUCUAUCUUCAGUGCAGUGGGGUGGAUCAUUAAGUGUUGUGAAUACUUGGAGGCCAUAAUACGAUUUAUCACUGGAAAAGAUCACUCAGAAGGAGGGUGCUGAGUAAACAAAGAAGAGGACCGAGGAACUUGCAAAUUUCCUGGCUGCAGAAGGAGAACAAAAUGUCGGAGAAGACAGCAGGGAGGGGAGCAAUGAGUAGGAGGAGAAGCUGAGCAAUGAGAUGCCGCAGAAGCAAAGGAGGUGCUGAAGAAGGGAAAGGGUCAGCAGCAGCCGGUCAGAUAAGAAUCAAGAAAUCCGAAUGGAUUCAGUGACCUGGAAGCAUGUCGUGAAGCAGCUGAGAGAAGAAGCCACGGUACUGUGGAAUGAGGAUAGCGGUGGUGUGGAACUCCCUGCACAGCUUGAUUACGAAGGG